ACGGGAGGCAGCAGUGGGGAAUAUUGGGCAAUGGGCGAAAGCCUGACCCAGCGACGCCGCGUGAGGGAAGAAGGUCUUCGGAUUGUAAACCUUAGUCAACAGGGACGAAGAAAGUGACGGUACCUGUGGAGGAAGCCACGGCUAACUCCGUGCCAGCAGCCGCGGUAAUACGGAGGAUGCGAGCGUUAUCCGGAUUUAUUGGGUUUAAAGGGUGCGCAGGCGGCACGUUAAGUCAGCGGUGAAAUGUCGGGGCUCAACCCGGGCACUGCCGUUGAAACUGGCGAGCUUGAGUACGGAUGAAGUUGGCGGAAUGUGAUGUGUAGCGGUGAAAUGCUUAGAUAUGUCACAGAACACCGAUUGCGAAGGCAGCUGACUAAUCCGCAACUGACGCUCAGGCACGAAAGCGUGGGGAUCGAACAGGAUUAGAUACCCUGGUA
rnacentral:rRNA from 1 species